UGACGUUGAUUAUAAUGCACAAUGAAGAGAUAAAGCAGGGGGGCUUCCUUAUGGUGGGAUUAAAGAUAAGCCUGUGAUAAAGUAACACUGUCCCCCUGAGACACAGACAGAGAGAGAGAGAGAGAGAGACAGAGAUGAUCUGGUGCUUCUGUCACCAACCAAGGAGGGCCUACAGCAGCACCUAGAUCUUAUGCACAGAUUCUGUCAGACCUGGGCCCUGACAGUAAAUCUCAGUAAGACCAAAAUAAUGGUGUUCCAAAAUAGGUCCAGUCACCAGGACCACAAAUACAAAUUCCAUCUAGACACUGUUGCCCUAGAGCACACAAAAAACUAUACAUACCUUGGCCUAAACAUCAGCGCCACAGGUAACUUCCACAAAGCUGUGAACGAUCUGAGAGACAAGGCAAGAAGGGCAUUCUAUGCCAUCAAAAGAAACAUAAAUUUCAACAUACCAAUUAGGAUUUGGCUAAAAAUACUUGAAUCAGUCAUAGAGCCCAUUGCCCUUUAUGGUUGUGAGGUCUGGGGUCCGCUCACCAACCAAGACUUCACAAAAUGGGACAAACACCAAAUUGAGACUCUGCACGCAGAAUUCUGCAAAAAUAUCCUCCGUGUACAACGUAGAACACCAAAUAAUGCAUGCAGAGCAGAAUUAGGCCGAUACCCACUAAUUAUCAAAAUCCAGAAAAGAGCUGCUAAAUUCUACAACCACCUAAAAGGAAGCGAUUCACAAACCUUCCAUAACAAAGCCAUCACCUACAGAGAGAUGAACCUGGAGAAGAGUCCCCUAAGCAAGCUGGUCCUGGGGCUCUGUUCACAAACACAAACACACACUACAGAGCCCCAGGACAGCAGCACAAUUAGACCCAACCAAAUCAUGAGAAAACAAAAAGAUAACUACUUAACACAUUGGAAAGAAUUAACAAAAAAACAGAGCAAACUAGAAUGCUAUUUGGCCCUACACAGAGAGUACACAGCGGCAGAAUACCUGACCACUGUGACUGACCCAAAAUUAAGGAAAGCCUUGACUAUGUACAGACUCAGUGAGCAUAGCCUUGCUAUUGAGAAAGGCCGCCGUAGGCAGACAUGGCUCUCAAGAGAAGACAGGCUAUGUGCUCACUGCCCACAAAAUGAGGUGGAAACUGAGCUGCACUUCCUAAGCUCCUGCCCAAUGUAUGACCAUAUUAGAGAGACAUAUUUCCCUCAGAUUACACAGAUCCACAAAGAAUUCGAAAACAAAUCCAAUUUUGAAAAACUCCCAUAUCUACUGGGUGAAAUUCCACAGUGUGCCAUCACAGCAGCAAGAUUUGUGACCUGUUGCCACGAGAAAAGGGCAACCAGUGAAGAACAAACACCAUUGUAAAUACAACCCAUAUUUAUGCUUAUUUAUUUUAUCUUGUGUCCUUUAGCCAUUUGUACAUUGUUAGAACACUGUAUAUAUAUAUAUAUAUAAUAUGACAUUUGUAAUGUCUUUACUGUUUUGAAACUUCUGUAUGUGUAAUGUUUACUGUUAAUUUUAGUUGUUUUUCACUUUAUAUAUUCACUUUGUAUGUUGUCUACCUCACUUGCUUUGGCAAUGUUAACACAUGUUUCCCAUGCCAAUAAAGCCCUUGAAUUGAAUUGAAUUGAAUUGAAUUGAGAGAGAGAGAGAGCGAGAGAGACAGAGAGAGAGAGAGACAGAGAGAGAGAGAGAGAGAGACAGAGAGAGAGAGAGACAGAGAGAGAGAGAGAGAGAAAGACCACACUCGCAGUGCUUU
ensembl:lncRNA